UGGGGAAUAUUGCACAAUGGAGGGAACUCUGAUGCAGCGACGCCGCGUGAACGAAGAAGGCUUUCGAGUCGUAAAGUUCUUUUAUAUGGGAAGAUAAUGACGGUACCAUAAGAAAAAGCCCCGGCUAACUACGUGCCAGCAGCCGCGGUAAUACGUAGGGGGCUAGCGUUGUCCGGAAUCACUGGGCGUAAAUGGUUCGCAGGCGGAAAUGCAAGUCAGGUGUAAAAGGCAGUAGCUUAACUACUGUAAGCAUUUGAAACUGUAUAUCUUGAGAAGAGUAGAGGUAAGGGGAAUUUUUAGUGUAGCGGUGAAAUGCGUAGAUAUUAAAAAGAAUAACGGUGGCGAAGGCGACUUACUGGGCUCAUUCUGACGCUGAGGAACGAAAGCGUGGGUAGCAAACAGG
rnacentral:rRNA from 1 species